CAAUUAUGACUUGUUAAAAAAUUAGCCGGAGAAUUCAUAAUUUGAAUAUUGAUUUGAUAACUUGAUCUCAAAAUACAACCAUAAGGAAACAAAAGCCACAAUUUUUUUGAGGUAAAUUAGAAAUGGUUUGAAAGAACAAAGCAGCAAAAACAGUAGAGUCUAGAGUGGAGGAGGUCCUGAUUCGAAGAGGGGAGGAGAGCAGCAACUAAAUAGACCGCAGCAGCACACAAACCAUAAGCUGGAAGAUAUAAAACCAAAAGAACAAACAAAGACAUUGUCAGUUCCACGUUUCAUUUUAAUUAUAUUUCUAGCCAUUGCUUUGUUUAAGCAAAGAAAAAUUCAAGUCCCUUACCAUGUAUCCAUGAAUCCUCCCCUAGGGCUAGGGGGAGCUGGACUUAGCAACGGUGUGCUUGGAGGAGAAGGUGGAUCCAUCACCUACUAUUAUACAAUAUACAAAAGGGUUACCUCUAUGGUUCUAGUGAAAAAGAAAGUCACAUAAGUUUCUUAUGUACUAAUCCAAACCAUACAUAUUCCACAAGUCACACUUUCAUCUACCAUUCAAAGGGUUGAUUCAGAAUCACAAAUGCCACCCCCAACUAACAUAUUAACUCUGUUAAGCCAUUCCUAAUUACUCCUCAAAAGUUACUCACCAGCAACCAUUCCAAUUUAUUCGACACGGGACAGAGAAUGUA
rnacentral:lncRNA from 1 species